rnacentral:rRNA from 1 species
AGUGAACGCUGGCGGUAGGCCUAACACAUGCAAGUCGAACGGCAGCACAGUAAGAGCUUGCUCUUACGGGUGGCGAGUGGCGGACGGGUGAGGAAUACAUCGGAAUCUACUUUUUCGUGGGGGAUAACGUAGGGAAACUUACGCUAAUACCGCAUACGACCUACGGGUGAAAGCAGGGGAUCUUCGGACCUUGCGCGAUUGAAUGAGCCGAUGUCGGAUUAGCUAGUUGGCGGGGUAAAGGCCCACCAAGGCGACGAUCCGUAGCUGGUCUGAGGGGAUGAUCAGCCACACUGGAACUGAGACACGGUCCAGACUCCUACGGGAGGCAGCAGUGGGGAAUAUUGGACAAUGGGCGCAAGCCUGAUCCGGCCAUACCGCGUGGGUGAAGAAGGCCUUCGGGUUGUAAAGCCCUUUUGUUGGGAAAGAAAAGCAGCAGGUUAAUACCCCGCUGUUCUGACGGUACCCAAAGAAUAAGCACCGGCUAACUUCGUG